CGAGGUGUAGCGUAGUCCGGUUAGGGCACCUGCUUUGGGAGCAGGGGGUCGGGAGUUCGAAGCUCUCCACCUCGA
rnacentral:tRNA from 1 species